ACAUCUAUCCAGAAGCAAGUGUAGUUCGCCGGUGAUGCUCCUACAUUGUUUACGUGGUGAGGUAGCUGUUUAUGUUGAAUUCUUGGAGGUUAAGUUGAAAAGUAGAGGGUUGUUCCAGUUUCCUCCGGAGCUGGACAAGUGAAAGGGCGGAAUAUGCAAUGGUUUUUUCUCUCUGCUUUUAGGUGGCAAACAAAAUCUGGCUUUUCCUUUCUUUCUGAAGCUUCGUGGAGAACGCAAUGGCAACCCAGGAAUUCCAGAGCAGAUUUAUACCCAUCGAAAUCAGCAGCAUUCUCUUCGCGUUCCCCCCCCCCCAUGUGGGCUUCUCUUCUACACCAGAAAAAACGCUUCUCUAAUGUCAUAGAAGAGUGUUUCCUUCCGCUCUCGUCGUCACCUUCCUUGUUUCUCAGAAUUCAUUUCCAUCUACUGGGAUUUCCAUUUCUCCCAUUUUCGAUUCUUCAUUCGCAAAUCUUUUGAUUUUCAAUGGCUUCUUCGAGUUCUCAUCUCAUCGCUGACGGAUGAAUCGCCAAUGGUCAGAGAAGCCUCCAUGGCUUCUCUUAAGGACAUUUCUCCUCUGAAUCCUCUCCUUGUCCUUGACUGUUGUUCUGCUAUUUCUAGAGGUGGCCGUCGGAUAAAAAGGACAUUGAUGCCGCUUAUAUUGUCAAGCUCGCCAAAUUGCCACUGCCGAGAUUAUCUCUUCUAAGAUACAUAUCUUGCACAGCCUUUUCAACGACUUCUGCAUUAACAGAUUGGAGUAGUGUAUUUUUUCUGUUAUAUAUACAUCUGUCCCUACUAUUGUUGUUGGCAUUCUUGACAAUGACUUGAGUCAUAAAACACUCCUAAGUGACAUGAUGCGUAUAAUCUGCAACUCUUUUGGAUCACAAUGAUUUACACACUAUGGCAGAGCCUUGUUCUAUUCUAUAUACCUUUUUUCACAUAUAAGGAGAGCUCAAUUGAUAUAUGGAGCAUGGGCAGUUUUGUGGACUAUAGCAGUUGUUAUUCUUGUUAAUAUACACUUGGCGAUGGACAUUCAGCGUUGGGUAUUCAUUACUCAUGCUGCAGUGUGGGGAUCAAUAAUUAUCACAUGUGCUUGUAUGGUGGUAUUGGAUUCUAUACCUAUCUUCCCAGAUUACUGGGCAAUCUACCAUGUGGCAAAGUCACCCACCUAUUGGCUCACCAUUUUGCUUAUAAUAAUUGUGGCUUUACUUCCUCGCUUUCUUCUCAAAGUUAUACAUCAGAAUUUUUGGCCUUCAGAUAUUCAAAUAUCCAGAGAAGCAGAGAUUCUUAGAAAAGUGACUCCUAAUUUUAGGGACAGAUGAAGAUUCCAAUUAACAUGUACAUUACACCCUGUUUUGAAAUGGUUACUCAUCUAUCCAUCAUAUGGCUGUCCUGUGGCAUGCAAUUGUAAUUUAUGAUGAUGAGUUGCAAAAAGCUGAAUUUGCAGCAGGCUUGUGAAACAUUAAUGAAAAAGCACGGCAGAAUAUUUUUAUGUAAAGGGAAAGAGAGGGAGGGUUGGUCAAAGUGAACGCAGAGUGGCCUGUUGCUGUAUACUUCAUGUUUUUUUAAGAAGGAAAACCAAAUGGUGGAAAGUUUGCUUCCCCAACAAAUAGGUGAAAUGAAUGCUC